UUUUACUGAUAAAAUCAAAGGUUCCAAUUUUAUAAAUUAUUUCUGGUUUGAUUUUAGGAAUAGUCCAUUUAUCUAAGGCUUCCUUAACAUCCUGAUAGGCUAUCAGUUCGGUUGCUUCAACUGUAGAAGCUGAGGCAUUGGCUACGGUUGAAAGAGAGGUUGAAAAAUCAGCCAUUUUUCAAAGGUGACCAUAUAUGUGUAAUUUAUAAGUAAUAUAUUCAUUAAUAUGUUAAUAAAUACUAACAUGGCUUUGAUACCAAUUAAGGGAGGAUCGGAGAAAAGGGUUGAUCAAGCACGUCUGUCAACGAUUUACAAGAAAUAAUAGCCAC
rnacentral:lncRNA from 1 species